AGUGAACAGUCUCUGAGUGGACUGCCCAUCACCUGCAUGCUCCCACACACCGAGCAAAAAGAAGAGGAAGCAGAUGACAAAGGUCUCGACAGGAGAAGAAUGUCCAUGUGGUUGCCACUGUGGGACACAAUAAAAGAAAAAGCAGACCUGCCAACAGGAAUACGCUUGUAAGCCUCGUUGAAUUUGGCCGGUUUUAGUUUGGAGUUCAGUCUCCUUGUCCUCCUCGUCGAAGGAAGAUGACGAGCAUGGAGCUGACGGCAGAGAGGCUACUGGAGAGGAGGUGAAGUGGUACGAGCUCCUGAUGCCGCUCCUCCAACCAGAGAUGCAGAUGGACGUCCUGGACAACUAUCAAAAUCAUUCACCACCAUCUCUACAAGCAGUACAUGAACCAUCAGUGAACAGUCUCUGAGUGGCCUGUCCAUCACCUGCAUGCUCCCACUCCACCGGCACAGUCACCAAGCUCUGUGGAAACCAAUAUUUACCGCUCACUUAUUGGCCGGAAAAGCAGAGGCGCAUAUCCUGCGCUCAACUCCUUCCUCGUGUAUCGUCGUAGUGGCCAACCCUUGGAUGUCCGUCUCCCCGCCAGUCGCAGCGUUGCUCCACUCGCCGACGCCAUCUGAAUCUUCUUUGCUGGCUGCGGGGACUCAUGGCUUGGACUGGUGGCCGUCCCUCUGGUUCUUUGUGUUUGGGCCGCUGUUUUAGUGACCCUCUGCCAGGUUCACCUCCCUUUGUUUUUUGGGGUGGUGUGUUCCUUUCAUGAUCCCACAAGACAGUUUGGAAAUUAUGUUUACUGUAUUUUGUAUUAUUUUCUACCCAGCGCAAAGCAAGGACAGUUUUGCAUCAUUGGCAUUUGUGCAUUUUACUUUUUUAACUGUAUCUUUUUUGCAACUCCAUUCGGCAUUCCUUGUUUUUUGUCAUUAAAUACGUUUUUAUCUUCA